AUCAUUGGUGAGUGGAAAAACGAUUAGGAAAGCAGGAGAAGGGGAGUGGCGGAGUGCAUAGCAAUUAGCAACAUCAUCCAGCGGACAGCAUUCCUAACCCUCCUUUCUAUCUCACCCGUUUCUUCUCUGCAAGUAGUACUAUUUCUCCGUCAUACUGAAGCUCUGCUGUGUGUGCGCGCGCGCGUUGGAGGAAGGAGGAAGUAAGCCUAGGAAAGCCAUCGCCCACCUUCUCGCUACCCACCAAACGCCGCUUGGUAGGAGAAGAAUUGCCCGAAAAGCUUCCCGUUGGCCGGGAUCUCUUCUUCUUUAAUUACCCCUGGGGAUUGCCUGGCUCAUUAGACCAGACAGGGGGAGAGAGGGAGCGAGCUGGCCGGCUAGGCCAGGAGAGGAGAGGGGAGACACAGACAACGAGCGCUCGCUGGGAAGAGGAAGAGGUUCGUGGGGACGCAGGGAUCCAGAGGAAGAUGAGGCGGUGGGUCUUAGCCAUCGCCAUUCCCAUUCUCGCCGCUGCUUCGGCGGCGGCGCUGUUCCUUGGGGCUGAGGCCCAGGCGGUCCAGCAGGGCCACCAGACAGAGAGGAUCUCAGGAAGUGCUGGUGACGUGUUGGAAGAUAACCCUGUUGGGAGGCUCAAGGUUUACGUGUAUGAUCUCCCCAGUAAAUACAACAAGAAGCUGGUGAAGAAGGAUCCUAGGUGCCUGAACCACAUGUUUGCUGCUGAGAUCUUCAUGCACCGGUUCCUGUUGUCAAGUGCUGUCCGAACAUUUAAUCCUGAAGAAGCAGAUUGGUUCUACACUCCCGUAUACGCCACAUGUGAUCUGACUCCUUCGGGUCUUCCCCUUCCCUUCAAAUCUCCACGCAUGAUGCGCAGCGCAAUUGAGCUGAUUGCCACGAACUGGCCUUACUGGAACAGAUCAGAGGGUGCAGAUCAUUUCUUUGUCACGCCACAUGACUUUGGUGCUUGCUUCCAUUAUCAGGAAGAGAAAGCAAUCGGGCGGGGAAUCCUUCCCUUGCUUCAGCGUGCUACACUGGUUCAGACCUUUGGACAGAAGAACCAUGUCUGCCUGAAGGGCGGGUCCAUCACAAUCCCACCAUUUGCACCUCCCCAGAAAAUGCAGGCUCACCUUAUCCCCUUGGACACCCCUCGGUCUAUCUUCGUGUACUUCCGUGGUCUGUUCUACGACACCAGCAACGAUCCUGAGGGUGGUUACUAUGCGAGAGGUGCUCGUGCAUCAGUCUGGGAGAACUUCAAGAACAACCCGCUCUUCGACAUCUCGACUGAUCACCCACCGACUUACUACGAAGACAUGCAGCGUUCAGUGUUCUGCCUGUGCCCCUUGGGCUGGGCUCCAUGGAGCCCCAGGCUGGUGGAAGCUGUGGUUUUCGGCUGCAUCCCGGUGAUCAUCGCCGACGACAUUGUCCUGCCCUUUGCGGACGCCAUCCCGUGGGAGGAGAUUGGUGUGUUUGUCGCCGAGGAGGAUGUCCCGAAGCUGGACAGCAUCCUGACGUCCAUCCCAACAGAUGUUAUACUGAGGAAGCAGCGUCUCCUCGCGAACCCGGCCAUGAAGCAGGCCAUGCUGUUCCCCCAGCCUGCUCAGGCGGGAGAUGCAUUCCACCAGAUCCUAAACGGGCUCGCGCGCAAGCUCCCACAUGGUGACAACGUCUUCUUGAAGCCCGGGGAGAGGGUCCUGAACUGGACCGCCGGACCGCCAGGCGACCUGAAGCCUUGGUAGCAUCUGCCUGCCUAGAACCUUUUUGUGAAAAAAAGCAAGAACGAGAACAUGGUGAUAUACAUACAUGCGCCUUUAAGUUACCAUGGUUGUGUACUUGUAUAGUGCUGCAUUUUGCCCUCCUGAUCGAGCUGACAAUUGCCAUAUAUACAGCACAUGGACCGCCAUCUUUCAUCAUCUAAUGCAAAGGGUAGCAUGUCGCUGCAGUCUUUGUCUGAAUGUUGCUGAGUUCUCAAGGAACUGACGCGAGCACAUAAUCAACAUCAGCACGUUCCUUUUUUUAUUUUGUGGCCCAGGAGGUGUACGAGCUAACAAUUUGAAAUGGCCAGGUUGUAGGAGCUGUAUUUUUUUAUAUGUUCUGUCUUUAAAAAAAAUCUCAGUUUUUUUGGGUAUAAAA